CCUACGGGUGGCAGCAGUGAGGAAUAUUGGUCAAUGGCCGAGAGCCUGAACCAGCCAAGUCGCGUGAGGGAUGACGGAUCUAUGGUUUGUAAACUUCUUUUAUAUGGGAAUAAAGUGAGGAACGCGUUCCUCUUCGUAUGUACCAUAUGAAUAAGCAUCGGCUAACUCCGUGCCAGCAGCCGCGGUAAUACGGAGGAUGCGAGCGUUAUCCGGAUUUAUUGGGUUUAAAGGGUGCGUAGGUGGUUAAUUAAGUCAGCGGUGAAAGUUUGUGGCUCAACCAUAAAAUUGCCGUUGAAACUGGGUGACUUGAGUGUAUGUGAGGUAGGCGGAAUGCGUGGUGUAGCGGUGAAAUGCAUAGAUAUCACGCAGAACUCCGAUUGCGAAGGCAGCGUACUAGACUAUAACUGACGCUGAAGCACGAAAGCGUGGGGAUCAAACAGGAUUAGAUACCCCAGUAGUC
rnacentral:rRNA from 1 species